rnacentral:piRNA from 1 species
UACAUAUGUAGUGUCCACUAU